UAGGGAAUCUUCGGCAAUGGACGAAAGUCUGACCGAGCAACGCCGCGUGAGUGAAGAAGGUUUUCGGAUCGUAAAACUCUGUUGUUAGAGAAGAACAAGGACGUUAGUAACUGAACGUCCCCUGACGGUAUCUAACCAGAAAGCCACGGCUAACUACGUGCCAGCAGCCGCGGUAAUACGUAGGUGGCAAGCGUUGUCCGGAUUUAUUGGGCGUAAAGCGGGCGCAGGCGGUUUCUUAAGUCUGAUGUGAAAGCCCCCGGCUCAACCGGGGAGGGUCAUUGGAAACUGGGAGACUUGAGUGCAGAAGAGGAGAGUGGAAUUCCAUGUGUAGCGGUGAAAUGCGUAGAUAUAUGGAGGAACACCAGUGGCGAAGGCGGCUCUCUGGUCUGUAACUGACGCUGAGGCUCGAAAGCGUGGGGAGCAAACAG
rnacentral:rRNA from 1 species